rnacentral:lncRNA from 10 species
CGUCUUCCUAUCUCGAGAUGUUUAAUUUAAUUACAGCUGCAAAGUCCCGUUUGCUUUGAGAGCUGAUAGAGAGAAGGGAAGAUGCGGCCGCCAUUUUGAACAUGAUUCGCACAACUGCCAGCAUCUAUGUCUGCAGCUCGAUUUUUCCUUCUGUGGACUUCCGUACCCUCACUAUCUGCCUAAGUAAUUUCUUCUUAACUCUGGUAUCACUGGGGAACACGGCUGGGACUCACCUGCUGACUGAAGGCUUCAGAGGGCACCUCCUCCUCCCAUCUAUGUCGUCUGCCACUCCAAGAGACUCUCUGGUUCAAUUUCUCCUGAGAAGGAACCUUCCACCUGCCAUUUAGUGGAGAAAGGGCAACUUGGGAUGGAAAUUUUCUUUAUACAGACUUUUAGGUGGUCCUGCUGUUUUUAAAAGGAGACAUCUACCCUCAAUUUUGAGCAUUUCCAGGAGCCUGUUGUGGGACAUCAGCUUGCUUUUCUUUCGCCUCCCACUUUGUUUUUCUUUUUGUGGACACAUGUGUUUCCUCCUCCUCCAUUCUGUCAACCGAGUUAUCUUCUCUCAUCCAUUUUUCAUUAUCAACAUUUUUAUUUUAUUAUUUAUUUCCUCUUUUAAAAAAAGUUUUAUCUUCUAUUUUUUUCCUCUGUGAAUUUGUUGUAUUUUUAUUUCUGCACAGACAUUUCUGGGGCAGGGAAAAACAAAUGCAUGGCAAUCCAACAUGUUUAAAUGAAAAGUUUUGCCUGGAUUUUUGUGAGCACUUUAACUCAUGGGCAGAGAAGUAAAAGUCAAAGAGCAUGGAACUAAAUGCCAGGAGACUGGGGUCUCACCCCAGCACCUCCCUGCCCUGCUUUGUGGAUUGAUCCCAAAUUGUAAAGGCCCA